GACGAACGCUGGCGGCGUGCCUAAUACAUGCAAGUCGAGCGAACAGACGAGGAGCUUGCUCCUCUGACGUUAGCGGCGGACGGGUGAGUAACACGUGGAUAACCUACCUAUAAGACUGGGAUAACUUCGGGAAACCGGAGCUAAUACCGGAUAAUAUAUUGAACCGCAUGGUUCAAUAGUGAAAGACGGUUUUGCUGUCACUUAUAGAUGGAUCCGCGCCGCAUUAGCUAGUUGGUAAGGUAACGGCUUACCAAGGCAACGAUGCGUAGCCGACCUGAGAGGGUGAUCGGCCACACUGGAACUGAGACACGGUCCAGACUCCUACGGGAGGCGGCAGUAGGGAAUCUUCCGCAAUGGGCGAAAGCCUGACGGAGCAACGCCGCGUGAGUGAUGAAGGUCUUCGGAUCGUAAAACUCUGUUAUUAGGGAAGAACAAAUGUGUAAGUAACUAUGCACGUCUUGACGGUACCUAAUCAGAAAGCCACGGCUAACUACGUG
rnacentral:rRNA from 1 species